rnacentral:rRNA from 1 species
GACGAACGCUGGCGGCGUGCUUAACACAUGCAAGUCGAACGAAAAGAGGGAAAGAGCUUGCUCUUUCCGGAAUUGAGUGGCAAACGGGUGAGUAACACGUAAACAACCUGCCUUCAGGAUGGGGACAACAGACGGAAACGACUGCUAAUACCGAAUAAGUUCCAAGGGCCGCAUGGCCCAUGGAAGAAAAGGUGGCCUCUACCUGUAAGCUAUCGCCUGAAGAGGGGUUUGCGUCUGAUUAGCUGGUUGGAGGGGUAACGGCCCACCAAGGCGACGAUCAGUAGCUGGUCUGAGAGGAUGAACGGCCACACUGGAACUGAGACACGGUCCAGACUCCUACGGGAGGCAGCAGUGGGGAAUCUUCCGCAAUGGGCGAAAGCCUGACGGAGCAACGCCGCGUGAGUGAUGACGGCCUUCGGGUUGUAAAACUCUGUGAUCCGGGACGAAAAGGCAGAGUGCGAAGAACAAACUGCAUUGACGGUACCGGAAAAGCAAGCCACGGCUAACUACGUG